UACGAAGGGGGCUAGCGUUGCUCGGAAUGACUGGGCGUAAAGGGCGCGUAGGCGGAUGGCACAGUCAGAUGUGAAAUUCCCGGGCUUAACCUGGGGGCUGCAUUUGAUACGUGUUGUCUGGAGUGAGGAAGAGGGUCGUGGAAUUCCCAGUGUAGAGGUGAAAUUCGUAGAUAUUGGGAAGAACACCCGUGGCGAAGGCGGCUCUCUGGGAGCGGUACUGACGCUGAGACGCGAAAGCGUGGGGAGCGAACAGG
rnacentral:rRNA from 1 species